CCUCUUUUGUGCAGGGAGCGUCGUACCGUAAAGAAGCAAAGACUGAGCUCCGAGAAUAUUCGCAAGCAGCAAAUUCUAUGUGUUGCAUCUCGUUGUACUUUUACGACAUAUUGCGUGUCCAACGAUAUAAUAGAGGAAAAAGAGAGAAGAGCGAGUGCCCUUUUUUAUUAAAAAUUAGACUUCUCACUUACCUUUCAAAAGUAAGCUCGAAAAUGUCAAAAGAUGUAGGGAUGUAACAGUGAAAUCGAUAAGAGAAAUCGAC